GAGUUUGAUCCCGGCUCAGGACGAACGCUGGCGGCGUGCUUAACACAUGCAAGUCGAACGAUGAAGGUGGGAGCUUGCUCCUACUGGAUUAGUGGCGAACGGGUGAGUAACACGUGAGCAAUCUGCCCCUGACUCUGGGAUAAGCGUUGGAAACGACGUCUAAUACCGGAUACGAGCUGGGACCGCAUGGUCACCAGCUGGAAAGAACUUUGGUCAGGGAUGAGCUCGCGGCCUAUCAGCUUGUUGGUGAGGUAAUGGCUCACCAAGGCGACGACGGGUAGCCGGCCUGAGAGGGUGACCGGCCACACUGGGACUGAGACACGGCCCAGACUCCUACGGGAGGCAGCAGUGGGGAAUAUUGCACAAUGGGCGCAAGCCUGAUGCAGCAACGCCGCGUGAGGGACGAAGGCCUUCGGGUUGUAAACCUCUUUUAGCAGGGAAGAAGCGAAAGUGACGGUACCUGCAGAAAAAGCGCCGGCUAACUACGUGCCAGCAGCCGCGGUAAUACGUAGGGCGCAAGCGUUGUCCGGAAUUAUUGGGCGUAAAGAGCUCGUAGGCGGUUUGUCGCGUCUGCUGUGAAAAUCCGAGGCUCAACCUCGGACCUGCAGUGGGUACGGGCAAACUAGAGUGCGGUAGGGGAGAUUGGAAUUCCUGGUGUAGCGGUGGAAUGCGCAGAUAUCAGGAGGAACACCAAUGGCGAAGGCAGAUCUCUGGGCCGUAACUGACGCUGAGGAGCGAAAGCGUGGGGAGCGAACAGGAUUAGAUACCCUGGUAGUCCACGCCGUAAACGGUGGGAACUAGAUGUAGGGACCGUUCCACGGUUUCUGUGUCGCAGCUAACGCAUUAAGUUCCCCGCCUGGGGAGUACGGCCGCAAGGCUAAAACUCAAAGGAAUUGACGGGGGCCCGCACAAGCGGCGGAGCAUGCGGAUUAAUUCGAAGCAACGCGCAGAACCUUACCAACCCUUGACAUCCUGUGCUACUACCAGAGAUGGUACGUUCCCUUCGGGGACGCAGUGACAGGUGCUGCAUGGCUGUCGUCAGCUCGUGUCGUGAGAUAUUCGGUUAAGUCCGGCAACGAGCGCAACCCACAUCUUUAGUUGCCAGCAGGUUAAGCUGGGCACUCUAGAGAAACUGCCCGUGAUAAGCGGGAGGAAGGUGUGGAUGACGUCAAGUCCUCAUGGCCCUUACGGGUUGGGCUACACACGUGCUACAAUGGCAGUGACAAUGGGUUAAUCCCCAAAAGCUGUCUCAGUUCGGAUUGGGGUCUGCAACUCGACCCCAUGAAGUCGGAAUCGCUAGUAAUCGCGUAACAGCAUGACGCGGUGAAUACGUUCCCGGGCCUUGUACACACCGCCCGUCACACCAUGGGAGUUGGUUCUACCCGACGACGCUGCGCUAACCCUUCGGGGAGGCAGGCGGCCACGGUAGGAUCAGCGACUGGGGUGAAGUCGUAACAAGGUAACC
rnacentral:rRNA from 1 species